AAGGGAUUCGCUCCAAACCAUACUACACCGGCCCCGAUGGCUCAGUUGGUAGAGCGUUCGCUUCGGGGGCGAUAGAUUCAAGAGUAUGUAGUUCUCAUCUUGCUGCCAGAUUUUUUGGUGAUUGUUCUUCCUGUGUGCUGAAUGAUUCGGUCCAACUUCAUCCUGUAUCAUGAAGUUAUUUGUCUGCUGUAAUCCAGAAAAAAGAAGAAAACAAAGCGGGUGACUGACUCCAUGGAAAUUCACACGAAUGCACUUCAUGGACCGACCAACAAGGCAUUAGCCUGCGAUGAAAGACUCUAUUGAGCCGACGUAUACCAUUCAUGCUUAUCAGGUGAAUGACGGUCGUGUUCCAGAACUCUAGGUUGGAUAUAGAUUUUCAUUCAACCCAUAAGGGGAUCGACAACUCCGAGUAUUACUUGAUGAUCAGGCAUUUUUCAUGUUUACAAAGGCUAUGGAAUCUCUGGCCAUGUCAAAGACAUAAUGGACAAGAAUCGUGCCUCAUGUUAAUGGAAUCGUGAUGGCAUUAUUUCGUUUCAACUGGUCCUGGUCACGCCGAAGACCACUGCGCGUGCGCGUGACGUCAUCGAUAUUACGCGAGGUCUUCUCGACAGGCAUGCAUUUUUUCAU